AUCCACAGGCGUAUCACCCUGCAGCCCAAGACUGGUUACUCACUGAAGCAAAGCAGGGCUGAGCCUGGUCAGUACCUAGAUGGGUGACCACAUGGUAAAACUAGGUUGCUGUUGUAA
ensembl:rRNA 5S_rRNA 5S ribosomal RNA